rnacentral:lncRNA from 1 species
UUAAAUAGUAAAUAUAAAUGAUUUGAGAUUAUUCUUCUCUAAAUUAUUUGCUCUUUAACCAUUCAUAUCAUUUGCAUCUCAUUCCAUCUUCCAUUACUGCAUAUAAAUAUGCAUUCAUAAUCCUGCAUAUCAUUUUGCAUUCACAAUCUUGCAUUUUCCACAUAUCAUCAAUAAGCUUCUUAACUUUCAUUUUAUUCUUUUUCUUAUUUGUGUAUAGUUGCUAAGUGUAUA